CACAUAUUCCCUCCGUUCCGAAUUACUACUUGUUUUGGAUUUGUCUAGAUAUAGAUGUAUCUAGACUCAUUUUAAUGCUAGAUAUAUCUGUAUCUAGACAAAUCUAAGACAAGUAAUUCGGAAUGGAGGAGUACAAC
rfam:Triticum aestivum genome assembly, contig: Triticum_aestivum_CS42_TGACv1_scaffold_321643_4BL